AUGAGCCAGCUUCCUCUAAGUAUGAAUAGCUUUCACCGCUUCUCCAUUUGGUUCAACCAAACAACAACAAAAAGAUAAAAACCCUAAGAAUGCGCCAUUGAUACCGGACGCCUACAGUUCUCUCUACUCCUAUUUCUUCUAGGGUUGGUAUCUGUCUUUCAAAGCCACUAUCUCUCUCUAGGGCAUCUAAUUUAAAUAUAUAGGGUUUGAAAAAAAGGCAAGGUCGGGUAAUUAAUUUGGCUGUUUUUGGGUCUCAUUAAUUCUCUAUAUAUCUAUGUCUGGAUCUGCUGCAUCUCUAUCUAACAAGUACAUUUGUGGUCGGAUUCUUUUGGUUUUUGUAAUAAUUAACAGUCAAAGCUCUUGUUUCUCAUAACUAACCCAGAUUUAGGGUUUUUUUUUUUUCCUCUGGUAACAGAUCUCCUUUAGUUUACUUUC